UCCCAAAAUUUUGUCCAUUUCUUUGAAGUGUAUCUAUUUUCGUAUUUAUUGUUCUUUCAUGUCUCAGCGAUAUUAGUCAUCUAACUGUAACAGUAACAUAAGGUCCAGACGAGUUUAAUGUACCUUAUAUUUGUCACAGACUUUUUGUCCAUACCAUUACUAAUUUCUCGGAAGGGCAGAUGAUUUUUAGUCAUCCAAAGCAUGUAUCAUGUUACUUGCACCUACAAAUGAAUAUCAUAAAAAUUUAUAUGAAAACAUCAUUUAAAUUUUCAUACUACUAUGAAAAUUUUGGAACUUUCAAAUUUAUAAUUUGAAGUGCAAUAAACAAUUAAUCGAAGCAGAGCAUCGAUUUACUUUGUCGCCUCCGGGCUUUCCCCACUCAAAAGUAUGUUCUGUCCCUAGUUUCAUGGCAUACAGAAUAUCAGCUGAUCGCUGUCAAACUUCCGCCACAAAUUUUUUGACGUUUAUAGUUUAUCUAGAUUAAAAUAUUUUGGUAAGAAGUUUACUCACGUAGUACUACCUUUUUCUAUUUUGAAUAAAAAAGGUUUCUUAAAAUUUUAUCAUUGGAAGUAAAGAUAAAUAUAAAAGUGAGGUUAAGAGUUGUAUACAGGGUGUACAGUGAGAUGUUUCUUUAGAUUAGAGGUAAAACUUGCUGUCAAAAUAGGGAAACGAAAGUUAUGCACAAUGUCUCCUGAUCCAACACAAGAACCUGCUGAGGCAACAUUAAAUGCACCAAAUUUGAUACUUGAAAAUGAGAGAAUAAAUGAUUCAGAUAGCGAAGAUGAUGCUGGAAUGGCAGGCUAUGUGCCUUUAUCUCAAAUUCCUGCGGAUAGUGACCCAAUAUUGUAUGAAGAUGAAGAUGAAGAAUGGAUCUCUAAUGCGGGUGAACCCAGUCAAGCAUUACCAGCUCUCUUAGAAUCACAGCAGGAUUAUAUAUUUGAAACACUGGAAGUGUGGUCAUCUCCUUAUAAUCGAUCAAACAUUGAUAUGGAUGCAGAUAAAAUUGAUCAAGUAAAAUCUAUGAUGGCAUCCUUUACCUUACCAACUACGGCAAUUCCAGAAUGGGCAAAGACUAUAUCCGAAGAUCAAUGGAAGGAACAACUCAUUGGACGUAUUAAAGAGAUGCAGAGUAGAGAAAAAUAAAUUUACAUAUUUUAAUUGGUACCUUUACAUGAAAUUAUUAUGUAUAUAAUUUGAUACAAAGGUAGUUCCAGACGUUGUACACCAGAUGUAAAUCAUGUACCCAGGAAUACAUAACAUAGAGGAAAGACCACAAAGCCAUCCUAACAAGUGACUCCACCAUGGAUACUCAUAUAUAAUUAUGGUACAUAACAGCAAAUUUUGUACAAACCACACAAACAGCAGGGGUAGUAACCGUCCAACAUAUCUUCCACCAAUAACAU